rfam:Glycine soja cultivar W05 scaffold3028_58, whole genome shotgun sequence.
GUUGGAAUAACUCAGUUGGUUAGAGUGUGUGGCUGUUAACCACAAGGUUGGAGGUUCAAGCCCUCCUUCUAGCG